CGGGAGGGCGGAGGCAAAAGCUCGAGUUUAAAGGGAAAGUGAGGCUGAGAACAGAGGGUGAAUAAGUGCUAACAGUCAGAAUUCUGGCUGUGAAGUCAGAGCUGGAAAAAAACAGUCCUAUGUGGAAGGAACUGGAUUGCUUUAAUACACCACAGAAAAAGUAGCUGGGGUACCUGAAUUUGAACAUGCCCACAAACCAUAUCUACUUAUGGGGAUGUAGAUUGUAUGCUUGGAUAUGCUGCCUUAAUCUGGAAUGCAAUCCACAUUCGCAUCGCUUGUUCAGGUCCUGAAACUACAGAUAAUUUAAUGAAGACUAUUGGUAACUGAAGUUGUAAUACAUCCAUAAUCAUUGAAGUUGAGCUAAUUCAUGUCCAAUUUAUCAAGAAAAGCAAUUAAGUAAUACAAAUCCAAAAAUAGUCUCAAACUGUUAAGGCCCAGUUGCAUACAUCAUCUGAAUGAGCAGGUAGAAGAACUAAAAGAACUUCAGAAGCCAAGGAACCAAAGCCCAAUACUAGCUGAGAAAAUGGAGAGUGAAGGCCGUACUGUCACUGCCUGGAUAUAGAGGAUUUGGAGCUGAAAGUGGAGUCAAACUCUCUUUGCCCUUGGGCAUGCUGUAGGCAGCAUGUAGAGAACCAGAAGUCUGCAAAACAAAGGAAUGGCUAUUUGCAAGUGAAGGUACAGAAUUUACACCAAGGCUUCUGCAGUUUGAGAAUCCAUAGUGGCUAAGUUCUUAUUGGCUGCUACUCUCCACCAGAAGGAAAACACAGGUUUAUCCUGAUGCUGUUGAUAUCUUGUUACCAGUUCUCAGUUAUUACCUAGUUUUAUAUAAAUAGGGGGCUUUGCAAUAUCUAACUCCAGUAAAUCAGAUCUAUACAGUUUCAAGUAUCAGCACUGGGGAAUGAAGGAACAUUAGAUAUAGAAGCAACUUUUGUGACAGCCCUAAACUUGUUUCCUUGUACCUGCCUUUCAUUGUAUUAUAAAGCAGUUGGACCCUACCCAACAUCAGCUACUCUUUUACUCCUUGAACCUGGCCAUCUCGCUUGGACUGCACACUGAUUCUUGGCUUGACUCAGAACUUUGCAAUUGCCUGGCCCUCAGCAAUGAAGAUGGAAGACCGGAAUGAGAUUUGUGACUUGACAAGCAAUUACAUCACACGAUUUGAACUAGCUCUGUCUUCCAAAGGAUGCUGUGAAUCUUCAGACUCCUCCUCUUCCUCCAGGAGACAUCCAGCAGGAUGGAAUAGAGCAGCCAGAGAAAAAAAAGUGAAAAAAUUAAAGCAUUGUAAGGGGCCUUGGAGGUAAUGUUGUAAGGCUCCUCAAUGCAGCCCCUCACUGCAGGAUCUGUAAUGAAGAAUUGCAGGAUCUGCAAUGCAUCUCUGACAGAUUUUUUGUUUAAAUACCUCCAGCAAAAAAGAACCCAUCAUUUUCCAGUCUCCUAGAAGUUUUUCCUAAUGUUUUUCUAAAAUCUGCUUCCUUACUAUUUUUAUCUGGUGGUUUUAUUUCUGCCUUCUGCAGCAAGAGAAAACAAGUCUGUUCCAUCUUAUGCAUGGCAGACUUUCAUAUAUCUGAAUAGCAUUCCAUAGUCUUCUCCCCUCCAAGCUAUAUGUAAAAGUAGCUUUCUAAAUUAUUCCUUAUAUGUCUCAUCACCAGGCCCUACACUAUUCCAAUUGCUCUCUUUUCAAAGUUCCCAAAUUGGAAGAAUAUUUUUAAAUAUUCUCAAAGGAUAGAAGGGAGCAUUGUCUAUUAGAUAGCAAUGAAACAAUUACAGAUUGUAUUAUAGCUAUGAUUGAGCUUCUGUAAAACUUCUCCAUCCCAAAAUGAAGGGAAAAAACAAAACAAUCCAAUGAGGACGGUAUGUUUAAUGGCAUAGAAAACUAAUUAAGUGGAAGAAAAACACAAGUGGAGAAAUGAAAACUCUCCACCUUGCAAUAUGAGUUGCAAUGCUUUCUUUGUGCUUAAUAAAGGUUAACAAACUAGAAGCAUAAUAAAAACAGAUUCUAAUAAGAUGUAAUUCACUAUAAACAUUGCAGCCAAUACCUUCUUUUCGUGCUUCAAAAUCUUGUGUGUGUAUAUAGCAUAGAACUUGCUUUUUAAUGCUGGUUAAGUGCUUUUCAAGGAUAUAGAUAACUGCAACUGGUAGUGCAUCCAUCCUUGCCAUACUUGACCAUUCGGUGGCUUUUGA